rfam:Ciona savignyi cont_6542, whole genome shotgun sequence.
CAAACGGCUCUUUUUAGGGCCACCCAUUAUGUUCAAAGAGAUAACU